UGCUUUAACCUGUCUCUUCUCAGCAGUGAAAAGAAAGAAAAAAAGACUAAGCCAGGAAACCUCUUGAAGGCCCAGAGAAGUAGGCACGUAUAUAAGGUUGAAGUUUGAGUUAGAUAGUUGAUCAGAUUCAGGUUCUGAUCUUUGAGCCAGAACACUUCCAAGGUAGAAUUGUUUUUUUCCACUAAAAGCACAUCAUGUCUGCUUGUCUUUUUGUGAGAUGCCCAGACUGGAGCUGCCACAUAGGAGACACUUGGUGAGCUCUCAAGGAAGAUUGGAUGUCUAUGGAGAAUCCACGUACCUAUAUCAUAUUAGUUGGAGCAAAACACAGACUCUGGGAUGAAAGGCAAAAGUGUUAUAAUGAGGCCAAUGGAAUGUGCUGAAUCCGUUCCUCAAAGAAAAACAAAACCAAAUAUCUCUCCAAGUCUGGAUUAUACCAGAGUUUCCAAAUCAUAAACAACCAAUGAAAAAGGGAUCAUAUCAUUAUGCGUUUCUACAAGGCCUUACUGAGGUAAGAUGAUGGAAUAAUGAUGACUGCGUUUUUUGGAGGAAGCUUAUCGUGCCCUGUGAGAGAGUUUAAAUGUGUAUUUAGUGUUUGAAAGACUUCCCACAUAUGAGAGAGACACUCAACAAAAAGUAAUUGUGUCUUGAAUAAUUUUUACACCACCGACAGAGACAA